rnacentral:rRNA from 1 species
AACGAACGCUGGCGGCAUGCCUAACACAUGCAAGUCGAACGAAGUGGCGCACGGGUGCGUAACGCGUGGGAAUCGGCCCUUGGUUCGGAAUAACAGCUGGAAAAGGCUGAUAAUACCAGAUGCCGGAGGAUUAGCCCGCGUUGGAUUAGGUAGUUGGUGGGGGAAAGGCCUACCAAGCCGACGAUCCAUAGCUGGUCGGAGAGGAUGAUCAGCCACACUGGGACUGAGACAAGGACCAGACUCAUACGGGUGGCAGCAGUGGGGAAUAUUGGACAAGGGGCGAAAGCCUGAUCCAGCAAUGCCGCUGGAGUGAUGAAGGCCCUAGGGUUGUAAAGCUCUUUUACCCGGGAAGCUGUACCGGGAGAAUAAGCCCCGGCUAACUCCGUGCCAGCCGCCGCGGUAAUAC